CCUACGGGAGGCAGCAGUGAGGAAUAUUGGUCAAUGGACGGAAGUCUGAACCAGCCAUGCCGCGUGCAGGAAGACGGCUCUAUGAGUUGUAAACUGCUUUUGUACAAGGGUAAACCUGAAUACGUGUAUUCUGCUGAAAGUACUGUACGAAUAAGGAUCGGCUAACUCCGUGCCAGCAGCCGCGGUAAUACGGAGGAUCCAAGCGUUAUCCGGAUUUAUUGGGUUUAAAGGGUGCGUAGGCGGAUUGAUAAGUUAGAGGUGAAAUGUCCGAGCUUAACUCGGGAACUGCCUCUAAUACUGUUGAUCUAGAGAGUAGAUGCGGUAGGCGGAAUGUAAGGUGUAGCGGUGAAAUGCUUAGAGAUCAUAAAGAACACCGAUUGCGAAGGCAGCUUACCAAUCUAUAUCUGACGUUGAGGCACGAAAGCGUGGGGAGCAAACAGGAUUAGAUACCCCAGUAGUC
rnacentral:rRNA from 1 species